AAUGCCUACGGGAGGCAGCAGUGGGGAAUAUUGGGCAAUGGGCGCAAGCCUGACCCAGCAACGCCGCGUGAAGGAAGAAGGCUUUCGGGUUGUAAACUUCUUUUCUCGGGGACGAAGAAAGUGACGGUACCUGAGGAAUAAGCCACGGCUAACUACGUGCCAGCAGCCGCGGUAAUACGUAGGUGGCAAGCGUUAUCCGGAUUUAUUGGGUGUAAAGGGCGUGUAGGCGGGGGCGCAAGUCUGAUGUGAAAACUCAGUGCUCAACCCUGAGCCUGCAUUUGUA
rnacentral:rRNA from 1 species